AUGGGCGCAUUUCGGUUGUGACAGAAGACAGGGUCUUGGUGCCUUUAAGGUUGGGGAUGUUGUUCAUCAUAAAGGAGGGAAAGUUUGGUUAGAGCAUAUGGAUUGUUUAUUACAAUUGAAGACUCAACAAGUGUAGAAUUUUUUUAUUUUAUAACUUCAAGCUCAUAUAUCUGUUUUUUAAUUGUAGAUUGUGCAUGACGAAGAUUGAUAUCUCUCGUUUGUAGGACACAAUAAGAUUUUUUGUAUUUGC